rnacentral:lncRNA from 1 species
ACGACAGGCCCCAGUAUGUGAUGUUCCCUUCCCUGUGUCCGUGUGUUCUCCUUGUUCAACUCCCACUUAUGAGUGAGAACAUGCAGUGUUUGGUUUUCUGUUCUUGUGAUAGUUUGCUGAGAAAGAGGAUUUCCAGCUUCAUCCAUGUCCCUGCAAAGGACAUGAACUCAUCCUUUUUUAUGGCUGCAUAGCAUUCCAUAGUGUAUAUGUGCCACAUUUUCUUCAUCCAGUCUAUCACUGAUGGACAUUUGGGUUGGUUCCAAGUCUUUGCUAUUGUGAAUAGUGCUGCAAUAAACAUACAUACAUGUGUCUUUAUAGAAUGAUUUAUAAUCCUUUGGGUAUAUACCCAGUAAUGGCACUGUUGGGUCAAAUGGUAUUUCUAGUUCUAGAUCCUUGAGGAAUCGCCACACUGUCUUCCACAGUAGUUGAACUAAUUUACACUCCCACCAACAGUGUAAAAGCAUUCCUGUUUCUCCACAUCCUCUCCAGCAUCUGUUGUUUCCUGACUUUUUAAUGAUCGCCAUUCUAACUGGUGUGAGAUGGUAUCUCAUUGUGGUUUUGAUUUGUGGUCUAAUGACCAAUAAUGAUGAGCUUUUUUUCAUAUGUUUGUUGGCUGCAUAAAUGUCUUCUUUUGAGAAGUGUCUGUUCAUAUCCUUUGCCCACGUUUUGAUGGGGUUGUUUUUUUCUUGUAAAUUUGUUUAUGUUCUUUGUAGAUUCUGGAUGUUAGCCCUUUGUCAGAUGGACAGAUUGCAAAAAUUUUCUCCCACCUUGUAGGUUGCCUGUUCACUCUGAUGAUAGUUUCUUUCGCUGUGCAGAAGCUCUUUAGUUUAAUUAGAUCCCAUUUGUCUAUUUUGGCUUUUGUUGCCAUUGCUUUUAGUGUUUUAGUCAGGAAGUCUUUGCCCAUGCCUAUGUCCUGAAUGGUACUGCCCAGGUUUUCUUCUAGGAUUUUUAUGGUUCCAUAUGAAGUUUAAAGUAGUUUUUUCCAAUUCUGUGAAGAAAGUCAUUGGUAGCUUGAUGGGGAUAGCAUUGAAUCUAUAAUUACCUUGGGCAGUAUGGCCAUUUUGACAAUAUUGAUUCAUCCUAUCCAUCAGCAUGGAAUGUCUUUGCAUUUGUUUGUGUCCUCUCUUAUUUCCUUGAGCAGUGGUUUGUAGUUCUCCUUGAAGAGGUCCUUCACAUCCCUUGUAAGUUGGAUUCCUAGGUAUUUUAUUCUCUUUGAAGCAAUUGUGAAUGGGAGUUCACUCAUGAUUUGGCUCUCUGUUUGUCUGUUAUUGGUGUAUAGCAAUGCUUGUGAUUUUUGUACAUUGAUUUUGUAUUCUGAGACUUUGCUGAAGUUGCUUAUCAACUUAAGGAGAUUUUGGGCUGAGACGAUGGGGUUUUCUAAAUAUCUGUCAUCUGAAAACAGGGACAAUUUGACUUCCUCUCUUCCUAAUUGAAUAACCUUUAUUUUUAUUUCUUUCUCUUGCCUGAGUGCCCUGGCCAGAACUUCCAAUACUAUGUUGAAUAGGAGUGGUGAGAGAGGGCAUCCCUGUCUUGUGCCAGUUUUCAAAGGGAAUGCUUCCAGUGUUUCCUCAUUCAGUAUGAUAUUGGCUGUGGGUUUGUCAUAAAUAGCUCUUAUUAUUUUGAGAUAUGUUCCAUUGAUACCUAGUUUAUUGAGUUUUUAGCAUGAAGGAGUGUUGAAUUUUGUCAAAGGCCUUUUCUGCAUCUAUUGAGAUAAUCAUGCGGUUUUUGUCACUGGUUCUGUUUAUGUGAUGGAUUAUGUUUAUUGAUUUGUGUAUGUUGAACCAGCCUUGCAUCCCAGGGAUGAAGCUGACUUCAUCGUGGUGGAUAAGCUUUUUCAUGUGCUGCUGGAUUCUGUUUGCCAGUAUUUUAUUGAGGAUUUCUGCAUCAAUGUUCAUCAGAGAUAUUGGCCUGAAAUUUUCCUUUUUUGUGGUGUCUCUGCCAGGUUUUGGUAACAGGAUGAUGCUAGCCUCAUAAAAUGAGUUAGGGAGGAUUCCCUCUUUUUCUAUAGUUUGGAAUAGUUUCAGAAGGAAUGGUAUCAUCUCCUGUUUGUACCUCUGGUAGAAUUCGGCUGUGAAUCCAUCUGGUCCUGGACAUUUUGUUGGUAGGCUAUUAAUUACUGCCUCAAUUUCAGAACUUGUUAUUGGUCUAUUCAGGGAUUCAACUUCUUCCUGGUUUAGACUUGUGGGGGGUGUUAUGUGUCCAGGAUUUAUCCAUUAUUACAGGUUUUCUCAUUUAUUUGCAUAGAGGUGUUUAUAGUAUUCUCUGAUGGUAGUCUGUACUUCUGCGGGAUUGGUGGUGAUAUCCCCUAUAUCUUUUUUUUUUUUUUUUUUUUUUCUUGAGACAGAGUUUUGCUCUGUCGCCCAGGCUGGGGUGCAGUGGCGCGAUCUUGGCUCACUGCAAGCUCUGCCUCCCGGGUUCACACUAUUCUCCUGCCUCAGCCUCCCAAGUAGCUGGGACUACAGGCACCCGCCACCAAGCCUGGCUAAUUUUUUGUAUUUUUAGUAGAGACAGGGUUUCACCAUGUUAGCCAGGAUGGUCUCGAUCGCCUGACCUCGUGAUCCGCCCGCCUCGGCCUCCCAAAGUGCUGGGAUUACAGGCAUGAGCCACUGCACCUGGCCUCCUUUGUAUGUUUGAAAGAAUUUGCCUGUGACUGCAUCUGGUCCUGGGCUUUUUUUGUUGAGAGAUUUUUAUUACUGAUUCAAUUUCACUACUCAUCAUUGGUCUGUGCAGGGCUUCUAUUUCUUCAAUCUCAGGAGGUUGUGUCCCCAGGAGUUUAUCCAUUUCUUCCAGCUUUUCUAGUUUGUGAGCAUAUAGUUGUUAAUAAUAAUAGUCUCUGAUGAUCUUAUAUUUCCAUGAUCAGUUGUAAUGUCUCCUUUUUCAUUUCUGAUUGUGUUUAUUUUGAUCUUCUCUCUUCUUUUCUUGGUUAGUCUAGCUAGUGGUUUAUCAAUUUUGUUUAUCUUUUCAAAAAACCAACUUUUCAUUUCACUCAUCCUUUGUAUUGUUUUUUGGUCUCUAGUUCAUGUAGUUUUGCUCUGAUCUUUGUCGCUUAUUUUCUUGUAACUUUGAGUUUGGUUUGUUCUUAUUUUUCUAGUUCCUUCAAGUGUGAUGUUAGGUAACUUGUGACCUACUGUUUUGAUGUAGGCAUUUAGUGCUAUAAACUUCCCUCUUAGUACUGCUUUUGCAGUAUCUCACAGGUUUCACUAUGCUGUAUUUUCAUUUUCAUUCAAGGAAUUAUGCUUCAUUCUUCAUCGACCUUUUUAGUGAACACCCAGGAAGUUUUCCUGUGUGCUUGUAGUCUGCCUCCCUUUUUCCAAUUACAACACCUUGGUCUUUCUUUGGGCAAUAAGCUGGUGUUCUAGAGUAAGAUGGUAAGGAUGUGACCCAAUCCUGGCAAUCACAGCAUUCCACCUAUCUCACAUUAACAAUUGGUUUGGGACUAGUGGGUGCUUAAGACUUGUCCAGUAAGACUCAUCCUGGGAUUUCUAUUCAAGUAUUUUCAAAGAGAGACUCAUUUACUACAGUUAUUAAACUCAUGGGAAAGACAAUAGGAGCUGCUAGUAGCUACCUUGAAACCACAUGAGGAUACCCUAAGAAUGAAGCCAGUCCAAGAGAAAGCAAAGGCAAGAAAUGGACAGAGCCCUAUGACAUGGUUUGGUCACUGGAUAUAUUUUUAGGUAUAUGAGGCUAAUAACCUCCAUCUCACAGAGUGCAUGACUAACCACAGUAAAUUUAGGAUUCUGUGCUUCUCCAUCCCUUCUCCAUAACUAGUUUACCUCUUAAAGGGUAUCUGGAAUUUCAGUUGUCAUGUAACAUGAAAGUUUUGAAAUGAUGACUGGCCCAUUUACUAUUAAUUUUCUUGACACCUCCAUGAUGCUAGCCAACAAUGGUCUUUAAUUAAAGUCACACAUUUUCAAAAUUUUAUAUGUAUUUAAA